CAGCAGCCGCGGUAAUACCGGCGGCCCGAGUGGCGGUUACUAUUUUUGGGGUUAAAGCGUCCGUAGCCGGGUUGGGAAGUCCUCCGGGAAAUCUGGCCGCUUAAAGGUCCGAAUGCCGGAGGAUACUCCCAGCCUAGGGGGCGGGAGAGGCCGAGGGUAUUCCCGGGGUGGGGGGGGAAUCCUAUAAUCCCGGGAGGACCACCUGUGGGGAAGGCGCUCGGCGGGAACGCGGCCGACGGUGAGGGACGAAGGCCAGGGGAGCAAACCGGACUAGAUACCCGGGUAGUCCUGGCGGUAAACGAUGCGGACUUUGUGUCGGACAAGCUAUGAGCUUGUCCGGUGCCGGAGGGAAACCGUUAAGUCCGCCGCCUGGGGAGUACGGCCGCAAGGUUGAAACUUAAAGGAAUUGGCGGG
rnacentral:rRNA from 1 species